UCUCACUCUCACACAGGUUGCUGCAUUGGCCGUCGUCAGCUCGUGUCGUGAGCUGUUGGGUUCAGUCCCGCAACGAGCGCAACCCUUGUCAUUAGUUGCUACGAAAGGGCACUCUAAUGAGACUGCCGGUGACAAACCGGAGGAAGGUGGGGAUGACGUCAGGUCCUCAUGGCCCUUAUGGGUAGGGCUACACACGUCAUACAAUGGCCGGUACAGAGGGCUGCCAACCCGCGAGGGGGAGCCAAUCCCAGAAAACCGGUCGUAGUCCGGAUCGCAGUCUGCAACUCGACUGCGUGAAGUCGGAAUCGCUAGUAAUCGCGGAUCAGCUUGCCGCGGUGAAUACGUUCCCGGGCCUUGUACAACACCG
rnacentral:rRNA from 1 species